rnacentral:rRNA from 1 species
UACGUAGGGUGCAAGCGUUGUCCGGAAUUACUGGGCGUAAAGGGCUCGUAGGCGGCCAACUAAGUCGGAUGUGAAAUCCCCAGGCUUAACCUGGGAACUGCAUCCGAUACUGGAUGGCUUGAAUCCGGGAGAGGGAUGCGGAAUUCCAGGUGUAGCGGUGAAAUGCGUAGAUAUCUGGAGGAACACCGGUGGCGAAGGCGGCAUCCUGGACCGGCAUUGACGCCUGAGGAGCGAAAGCCAGGGGAGCAAACGGG